rnacentral:rRNA from 1 species
UACGGAGGGAGCUAGCGUUGUUCGGAAUUACUGGGCGUAAAGCGCGCGUAGGCGGCUUUGUAAGUUAGAGGUGAAAGCCCGGAGCUCAACUCCGGAACUGCCUUUAAAACUGCAUCGCUUGAAUCCAGGAGAGGUGAGUGGAAUUCCCGGUGUAGUGGUGAAAUGCGUAGAUAUCGGGAGGAACACCAGUGGCGAAGGCGACUACCUGGCCUGUUCUUGACGCUGAGGCGCGAAAGCUAGGGGAGCAAACGGG